rnacentral:rRNA from 1 species
GACAGAGGGUGCAAACGUUGUUCGGAAUUACUGGGCGUAAAGCGCGUGUAGGCGGCUAAGUAAGUCGGGCGUGAAAUCCCACGGCUCACCGUGGAAGUGCACUCGAAACUGCAUAGCUAGAGUCCUGGAGAGGAAGGUGGAAUGCUUGGUGUAGAGGUGAAAUUCGUAGAUAUCAAGCGGAACACCGGUGGCGAAGGCGGCCUUCUGGACAGUGACUGACGCUGAGACGCGAAAAGCGUGGG